CCAAUAGCGUAUAUUAAAGUUGUUGCAGUUAAAAAGCUCGUAGUUGAAUUUCGGGAUUGACGUGAUGGUCAUGCCUUAAGGGGUAUGAACUGUUACAGUUGAUUUCUCACCUUCUGGAGAAACUUGAUGUCCUUUAUUGGGUGUCUUGCGGAUCCAGGACCUUUACCUUGAAAAAAUUAGAGUGUUUAAAGCAGGCAUUUUUGCCCGAAUACAUUAGCAUGGAAUAAUAGAAUAGGACGGCAUGGUUCUAUUUUGUUGGUUUCUAGGAUCACCGUAAUGAUUAAUAGGGAUAGUUGGGGGCAUUAGUAUUCAAUUGUCAGAGGUGAAAUUCUUGGAUUUAUUGAAGACUAACUACUGCGAAAGCAUUUGCCAAGGAUGUUUUCAUUAAUCAAGAACGAAAGCUAGGGGAUCGAAGACGAUCAGAUACCGUCGUAGUCUUAACCAUAAACUAUGCCGACUAGGAAUCAGACGAUGUUAAUUUUUUAAUGACUCGUUUGGCACCUUACG
rnacentral:rRNA from 1 species